AGAGUUUGAUCAUGGCUCAGGACGAACGCUGGCGGCACGCUUAACACAUGCAAGUCGAACGAGAGAAGAGGAGCUUGCUUUUCUGAUCUAGUGGCGGACGGGUGAGUAACACGUGAGCAAUCUGCCUUUCAGAGGGGGAUACCGAUUGGAAACGAUCGUUAAUACCGCAUAACAUAAUUGAACCGCAUGAUUUGAUUAUCAAAGAUUUAUCGCUGAAAGAUGAGCUCGCGUCUGAUUAGCUAGUUGGUAAGGUAACGGCUUACCAAGGCGACGAUCAGUAGCCGGACUGAGAGGUUGAUCGGCCACAUUGGGACUGAGACACGGCCCAGACUCCUACGGGAGGCAGCAGUGGGGAAUAUUGCACAAUGGAGGAAACUCUGAUGCAGCGAUGCCGCGUGAGGGAAGAAGGUUUUAGGAUUGUAAACCUCUGUCUUCAGGGACGAAAAAAGGCGGUACCUGAGGAGGAAGCUCCGGCUAACUACGUGCCAGCAGCCGCGGUAAUACGUAGGGAGCGAGCGUUGUCCGGAAUUACUGGGUGUAAAGGGAGCGUAGGCGGGAUCGCAAGUCAGAUGUGAAAACUAUGGGCUUAACCCAUAAACUGCAUUUGAAGCUGUGGUUCUUGAGUGAAGUAGAGGUAAGCGGAAUUCCUAGUGUAGCGGUGAAAUGCGUAGAUAUUAGGAGGAACAUCAGUGGCGAAGGCGGCUUACUGGGCUUUAACUGACGCUGAGGCUCGAAAGCGUGGGGAGCAAACGGGAUUAGAUACCCUGGUAGUCCACGCCGUAAACGAUGAUUACUAGGUGUGGGGGGACUGACCCCUUCCGUGCCGCAGCAAACGCAAUAAGUAAUCCACCUGGGGAGUACGACCGCAAGGUUGAAACUCAAAGGAAUUGACGGGGGCCCGCACAAGCAGUGGAGUAUGUGGAUUAAUUCGAAGCAACGCGAAGAACCUUACCAGGUCUUGACAUCGUAUGCAUAGCUCAGAGAUGAGUGAAAUCUCUUCGGAGACAUAUAGACAGGUGGUGCAUGGUUGUCGUCAGCUCGUGUCGUGAGAUGUUGGGUUAAGUCCCGCAACGAGCGCAACCCUUACUGUUAGUUGCUACGCAAGAGCACUCUAGCAGGACUGCCGUCGACAAAACGGAGGAAGGUGGGGAUGACGUCAAAUCAUCAUGCCCCUUAUGACCUGGGCCUCACACGUACUACAAUGGCUGUCAACAGAGGGAAGCAAAGCCGCGAGGUGGAGCGAACCCCUAAAAGCAGUCUUAGUUCGGAUUGUAGGCUGCAACCCGCCUACAUGAAGUCGGAAUUGCUAGUAAUCGCAGAUCAGCAUGCUGCGGUGAAUACGUUCCCGGGCCUUGUACACACCGCCCGUCACGCCAUGGGAGUCGGUAACACCCGAAGCCUGUAGUCUAACCGCAAGGAGGACGCAGUCGAAGGUGGGAUUGAUGACUGGGGUGAAGUCGUAACAAGGUA
rnacentral:rRNA from 1 species